rnacentral:tRNA from 1 species
GGCCCGGUAGCCUAGUGGAUAAGGCGCCCUCCUGCUAAGAGUGAAAUCGCGGGUUCGAAUCCCGCCCGGGCCC